rnacentral:rRNA from 1 species
CCCUUAGAUGUUCUGGGCCGCACGCGUGCUACACUGAUGCAUUCAACGAGUUUUUCCUGGUCCGAGAGGAAUGGGUAACCUUUUGAAAGUGCAUCGUGCUAGGGAUAGACUAUUGCAAUUAUUGGUCUUCAACGAGGAAUUCCUAGUAGACGUAGUUCAUCAGACUGCAUCGAUUACGUCCCUGCCCUUUGUACACACCGCCCGUCGCUCCUACCGAUUGGAUGAUCCGGUGAGCUAUUCGGACCUUCGCUUCGUCGAUUUUCGGCUUUGUGAGGGAAAGUCUCGCGAACCUUAUCAUCUAGAGGAAGGAGAAGUCGUAACA